AUUGAACGCUGGCGGCAGGCCUAACCCAUGCAGGUCGAGCGGAGAAGGGGAGCUUGCUCUUGGUUUCAGGGGCGGCCGGUUAGGUAUUGCCAAGGAUUCGCCUUGGUGGUGGGGGUUAACGUCGGGAAACGGCGGCUAAUACGGCAUCGGUCCUGAGGGUGAAGGGGGGGGUUCUUGGUACCUAUGCUUUUCGGUUGGGCUUAGUCGGGUUUGCUUGUUGGUGGGGUUAAGGGCUACCAAGGCGAAGAAUCGUAAUUGGUCUGAUAGGAUGAUUAGUCACACUGGAACUGAGACACGGUCCAUGCGCCUACGGGAGGCAGCAGUGGGGAAUAUGGGACAAUGGGCGAAAGCCUGAUCCAGCCAUGCCGCGUGUGUGAAGAAGGUCUUCGGAUUGUAAAGCACUUUAAGUUGGGAGGAAGGGCAGUAAGUUAAUACCUUGCUGUUUUGACGUUACCAACAGAAUAAGCACCGGCUAACUUCGUG
rnacentral:rRNA from 1 species